GACAAGAUGGCUCAGUGGUAAAAGCUCCAAACUAGGGUAUGGGAGGUCCCGGGUUCGAUCCCGGUCAAGUUA
rnacentral:tRNA from 2 species